UACGUAGGGUGCGAGCGUUAAUCGGAAUUAUUGGGCGUAAAGGGCGCGUAGGCGGCUUUGCAAGUGACGGGUGAAAGCCCUCGGCUUAACCGAGGAACUGCCUGUCAGACUGUGAGGCUUGAGACCGGGAGAGGUGAGUGGAAUUCCCAGUGUAGCGGUGAAAUGCGUAGAUAUUGGGAGGAACACCAGUGGCGAAGGCGGCUCACUGGACCGGAACUGACGCUGAGGCGCGAAAGCGUGGGGAGCAAACAGG
rnacentral:rRNA from 1 species